UUUCAAACCAAAUAUUAAAUAUUAUAAUUUCCAUUAAAGGUUUAUGACCAGAAACUGUCGCUAGAUAAAAUUUCAAAAAAAAAUGCAAUAACUAUUAACAUUAAUGUUCUCAAGGAGAAAAAAAAAACCCUUCAAAUAUUGCAAAAACAAAAAGAAAAAGAAAAAGUCGUCAAGAAUAGAAUUAAAACUUUUGUUUGGAUGCUCUAUUUCAUUUUUGCGGGUAAAGUUAUAUUGAGACUGUAAAGAGUUACUUUAUUCUAAUUGGUUGUGUUGUCAAAGUUACGGAGGAAGAAAUAAAUGAUCUAUGAGAGUUUUGUUUGACGGACGUAAUGAAAUAGUAUGAUAAACUGAAUCCUUAUGAUAAUGGAA
rnacentral:misc_RNA from 1 species